rnacentral:RNase_P_RNA from 1 species
GAAACAAGCCGGCUUAUCGCCUUACGCUUCGGCGUGAUGAGGAAAGUCCGAACAGCAAAGAGCACCGUGCUACCUAACGGGUAGGCAGGAGGUUGGCGACGGCCGCCUGACAGCCAGUGCAACAGAAAAAAUACCGCCUUCGGGUCAGGGUGAAAAGGUAGAGUAAGAGCCUACCGCUCAAGCAGCGAUGUUUGAGGCAAUGUAAACCUCACGGGCUGAAAGACCAAAUAAGCCGCCGUUGUCCGUUUGCUCGACGGCAACCUUCGGGUUAUGGCGGUGGGUAGGUCGUUAGAGGUGGCGAGUGAUCGUCAUCCCAGAUAAAUGAUAAGCGAUUCGCCGCAAGGCGUUGAACAGAAUUCGGCUUACAGGCUUGUUUCUUAU